rnacentral:sRNA from 1 species
UUAAAUAUUUAGCCAUAUGAACCACCAAGAGAUGCUCUAGGUCUGACCUAUAUAUCUGACCUUAACGAAGAAGAUGCUGAACGAAUAAAAAAUGUUGCAUAUGAGGAACUGAAACUAUUAUUGAAGAAGCGCAAUAUUGCAUACACAAAGACGAAGGCAAAGAAACGAACUACAGAUAGUGGACUAUUUGGGACAGCACUUGAAGUACUUGUUGCAAAGGAUAUUAAGAAAAAUAGACUUGUUUCUGAUCUGAAAGUUCCAGCUGUAUUUUCAUUGAUGGUUCAAUUCAUUGAGGAAAAUGGUAUGCUCGUAGAAGGGAUAUUCAGAAAAUCAGGAUCAGCUGAAAAAAUCAAAGCUUUUAGAAAAGAGCUAGAGGAUAAUUUCUACAAGAUACCUAACUAUUCUAUACACGAGCACACACAAAUCAGUGACUUGACUGCUCAUGAAGUAUGCUCAGUCUUUAAGGCCUUCCUCAGAGAACUACCAGCAUAUCUGAUAUCCAGUGAAAGAAUGGAGUAUUUCCCUAAUA